AGGGCAUCGAUCAACGAGGAGCUUCCGUAAGGAAUCCAAACUCCAUGCAAGAAAUUUCGACGUUGAAAUUUUGUGUGGUGAGGAGAAGUUUCAACGUGGCUUCAUCUCUGCCUUUCCACCUUUGCCAAAACUUAUCGAAGACCAAGAACCGUCGAGCAUUUUUUGUUUCAUGUAAAUUAGUUUCUCUUUAGUGUUUGAUACUCCAGCUGUUUCAGUUUAUAUGUUUAAAGUUUUCCAUGCAAAUUAAAGAAAAUGUUAGAUAUUCAUUUUUAUUCGUAUUUAACUAUUGAAAUUCAAUAAUAUUAUGAAAUAAGUUAGUUUCCUGUUAUGAGUUUGUCUCAAAUCGGAUACGAUGACUAGAAAGCAAUGACAAAAAGUCUUUGACGGAAGAUUCUAGUCGAGUGGUUGAUCGGAUACGUUGUGUUGACAGCAAAGACAACAAGUCUUUGACGGAAGCUUUUUUUUUUUUUG
rnacentral:lncRNA from 1 species